rnacentral:lncRNA from 1 species
AGUAGCUAGUAGGAAUUAUAUCCCAACAAUUCAACAAGAACGAACAAAGUAGUGAUAUUCUCACUCUCAUAGCAAUACUACAAAUAAUAGGACAAAACAAUAUUUGUAAACACACGAGUGGUCCAUAUAGUUCUCCAGAAAUCCCUAAAAUAGAUCUUGCAUCUAGGUAUGCAACACCACAUGAAAGGCCCAUACCAUAUGUGAUUAUGAACCUUUAUUUAACUACAUAUAGAUAUAGUAGUACAACAAAUAUUACUGUCCGGCUGGGAAACGAAACCGUCAAUAUGCCACUGACAAUAUGCCGAUAUAAUUGUCGCAAACAAAACGUACUCACAUGUUAUCGAUACAAUUUCACCAAUAUUAACGGACAUAUAUUAUUUCAACAAUGUCGAUGCACACAACCUUUAUUUAAUAAAGAACUGAUGGCUUGCAUAGAGAACUUCUGAGAUAUUCAUCAGAGACAUAUAUGUAUACACCAUUUUUAUUAAGGGGUGGUGGUUAUUGAAGGUGGAGAGAACGGAAAUAUGGGAGUUGAUGGGAAAUUUGGAAGUGAAGUAAUAAUAGGGGGAGGCAACCUAUAUUCUGGCCAUAAAGGUGCGGGGGUCAGAGGAGGAAACUUCAGGUUCCGAGGAGGAAACUUCAGGUUAGGGAUCUUAGGCAGCUUAUAAUGAGGAAAGGUAGGGGCUAAGAGUUUUCGAGGAGCGGCGAAAGCUAAAUGUGUGCUUGAAAGUAAUGAAGCGACGACAAAGAUAGCUAUGACAAACGAUUUCCAAGUGGCCAUCUUAGUGUGUGGAAAUAAAGCUGAUGAAAUUUGAUGUGGACGAGAAGACCAGCCUAUGGUUAUAAUUUAUAACGUUGAUUCCAUUGGGAACAAGAACAACCCCAUUUAUUUUUGGUUUUAAAUGCUGUAAAAUUCUGUUGAAAAAUAAAAAUAUGUCAGAUGCCGGUAUGGGUCAAAAUUUAGAAUAGGAUAGUACUAAUUUGUAGUUUUCCAUUAAAAGUCUCGCAGUUGGUAGGUACACCUAUCAUUGUCUUGGUUUCUAUUUUGCUUUGCCAUGCCAUUCUUCACAAAGAGAUAUGCCAUUUUUCUCGUUCUUCUUGAAAAGGAAAGGUUGAUAGAAUAAUUAAUCUCAAAGAUAAAAUAGACUUUGGCUGGAAAGGGAUAAUGAAAUGAUUGAAAAAGGCGAUGCGGCCCUUUGUUGUUUUGUUGCCGAUAACAAUAUAUAUAUAUAUAUAUAUAUAUAUACAGAGAGCUUUCAUUGAGGGAUCCUUCAAAUAAGCUUAUUUGAGGGACACCCCUUGUAGGCCCCAUUCCGGAUUGUAUUUCACUAAUCCAAACCGUCUAUUUUGUACAUACUCAUUCAAAGAUCAUCUCAACAAAAAAUCACUUGAAUCCGAUAUUAUUUGACCACUCAAUUAAGCUAUUGAAAUUUUAGCAUUUUCUUGAAGCAUCGUAUUCUUUGAUUUUGUAAGACACAAUUGGAUGUCGAAAUGGUUUCCGAUUUGUCUAAUUUUUUGUAAGGAUGAUCUAUGAAUAAAGACCUAAAAAAUAGAUGGUUUGGAUCAUUGGGAAAAAAAAUUGUGGGGUACCCUAAGGGGUGUCCCUCAAAUAAAAUUAUUUGAGGGAUCCCUCAAUAGAAGGGGACUGAUAUAUAGAGAGCUUCUAUUGAGGGAUCCCUCAAAUAAGCUUAUUUGAGGGACACCCCCUUGUAGGCCCCAUUCCGGAUUGUAUUCACUAAUCCAAACCGUCUAUUUUGUACAUACUCAUUCAAAGAUCAUCUCAACAAAAAAUCACUUGAAUCCGAUAUUAUUUGACCACUCAAUUAAGCUAUUGAAAUUUUAGCAUUUUCUUGAAGCAUCGUAUUCUUUGAUUUUGUAAGACACAAUUGGAUGUCGAAAUGGUUUCCGAUUUGUCUAAUUUUUUGUAAGGAUGAUCUAUGAAUAAAGACCUAAAAAAUAGAUGGUUUGGAUCAUUGGGAAAAAAAAUUGUAGGGUACCCUAAGGGGUGUCCCUCAAAUAAAAUUAUUUGAGGGAUCCCUUAAUAGAAGGGGACUGUAUAUAUAUAUAUAUAUAUAUAUGUUAUAUUGUUGUUUGGGUGUGGUCUCCAAUUCCAAGUCAAGUCACGUCAAGUCAAUGGUCUCAAUUUCAAGCCAAGUUAAUAGACUCAAUUUCAAGCCAAGUCAAGUGGUUCCAAUUUCAAACUAAGUCAAGACAGACUCAACUUCACAAGAAAUUAUUAUUUACAAUGAAAGUAAAUAAAUGAAAGACCAAGGAGUUUUGGUUGGGAUUUCACUCAAAGGCGAACUAGUGGCCCAUGGAUUCUCUCUCUCUCUCUCUCUCUCUCUCUCUCUCUCUCUCUAUAUAUAUAUAUAUAUAUAUUUAAUACGAAGGAGUAAGAAGUCAUAUGAACUUUGGCCAAGUUUCUUGAAAAUGCCAAAUUGCCUAAAGAUCUUUAGGCAAAAAGAUCUGAUGAAAGUUCGAAGGCUAACUUUAUGGCUUUAUACUAUCUAUAUAAUAAUAUUUAAACUCAACAUGAUGCAGAUGGACUCAUUAGAAUUCUAAAUCACCCAACAUCAGUGGAUUAUGUUUAAUCAAAACUAGAAACUCCGGAAACCAUGAUGUCUCACCAGAAGAAAAUAAUGCCCUGUUGAAACUGGUGAGUUCGUACUCCAUUGGUACGCUGAGAAGGCUAGACAUGCUGCAGGUUUCUAAUGAAAAGAUUCUGGGAGACCAGGAGAGACUCAUGGCUAAGCUUAAGAGGCGCCAUUCUCUUCCUUCAGAGGCUUCCAGAACAUAAUGUAAUCUUUUAGAUUUUACAGAGCCUGCACCUUUAUUGCAGGUGGAAAAUCUAUCUGUUGUAUGCCUUCUUUCAUGUUAUAAUAAUUGUGCAAAUUCUUAAACUUGCACCUGUGGUUUUUACGUCUUUUCAAAAUGACGAUUUGGAACCUUGUGUCUUAUAGGUUCAAGUAACCACAUCAAAUCUCUCAAAUUACAUAUUUCAAUGCAUGUGAGCCCGGAACUUCUGGCUCGGGCUAAACACGACCUCAGAAUUUAUUCGCCCUUUUCAAAUAUGCAUGAAAUAUGAAUUGAGGAAAAGUCAUGAUAAUAUUGUAAUAUAGUAGUGAAGAGCAUUAACUACUAUAUAAUCAAAACUUCAGGUUCAGGACUUUUCAUAUAUUGGGAUCAAUGGGCUUCUAGCCCAGAUCAUAUAAUAUAACCAAAUAUGUGGGGAGCCUCAAUUCAUCAUUUGAGGUUUAUCCUGAUAUUAUCCAUUUCAUGGUGCAUUCUUAACAACCGGAAUUCACAAAAUAUAUUUCUUCCUUGAGGUGUCGAUUGUAACAGAAUUGAACUUUAUUAAAUUUAUCAUUUCUUAUGCCAAAGAAAUAUGUGGUGUACCACAAUUUGCAAUAAUACCUCAAGGGUUGCCCAUUUAACUAUAGGAACUUCAAGUUCUCAAUAUUGCCAUAUUUUAAACUUUAUGCCAAAAUCAUAUAUUCUUAUAGUAUGGGCAUUCAAUACUCUUAGAUUUUGAACUUCAGGCCAAAAUCACAUAUUCUCAUGGUAUGAACAUUUUUACAAUUUUCUGUAUGUAUUUUGGGACUUCAAGCACUUACAUAAUUGUCCAUAUUUUGAGAAACUUCUGGCAUCUCAUUUAAUUGCUCAUUUAUGAGUUUAAGGAACUGCAUGUUCCCUUUUGUAUAUAGUGACAAUUUACCCAAAAUGGUUAAUAUUUAUGCAUAUGUCACUAUUCAUGUAUACGAUACUAUUCAUCAAGUCAUGAAUACGUAUCUAUUCAUGUGUACAGUACAUUUGCUAGUACAGUUAUUAUUUAUGUGUACAUCACUUUUAACCAAUACGGUACUGUUGCAUCAUCAAGGAACUCUAGGUCUUUAUUUACAUGUCAAGGAUCAAGGAUCUUCAAGUCCGAUAUCUUGUUUACAAGUAUAGUAAACAAGAGAUUGUCAGCUCUCAUAUCAUUAUCAUCAUCAAGGAUCUUCAAGUCCUGAUGUAGUUGUAUGAUGGGGAUCAAAGAACUUUUGGUCCUGAUCUGUAUGCUGUAAAAACUCAUCAUACUGCACAAUUAAUCCAUAAAAUAAAUUGCUUGUAAAUAAAUUGCUUGAUGUAUGGACGUUAAUCCUGCGCCAUACCUUAAAUAAAAUUAAAUAUGCGGUAAAGUAAAUUCAUAAAUUAAAUUGCUUGCUGUACGGACGUUAAUCCCACACCAUACCUUAAAUAAAAGUAAAUGUGCAAUAAAGUAAAUUGCUUGUUGUAUUGGAGUUAAUUCCACACCAUACAAUAAUAAAGUAAAUGUGCUUGUAUGAGCACUAAUUCUGCUCCAUACUUUUAAAUAAAAGUAAAGGCAGUUGUGUGGACGAUAAACCUGCACCACACUUUUAAAUAAAUAUUGUUGUAUGGGUAAUAAACCUACACCAUACAAGAAAUAAAUUGUAUGAGUAAUGAACCUACACCAUAUAGUAAAUAAAAUAACUGUGGGAAUAAAACCACCACUAAAAAUAUAGGAAGUGAAACCGUCUAUUUUUAUUAGUUGUUAGUAAUAUGAAAGCAAAUAAGUAUAUUAUAUUACUAUCAACUUUUCAUAUCAAUAUUAUAAUUAUAUAUAUAAGAUAACCAUAUAUAAUAAAUUGACAGUUAUCGCUUCUGACAAUCGUGGAUUAUAUAUACUAGAUUAAGACUACCAUAUCAAAUAAUAUUCUAUAAAUAUCACUUGUGUAUAUACAUAUAACUUGAGUAUAUUGCCAUUUAUAUAUAUAAUAUGUUAUAUCAAAACCAAAAAGUUAAUGAUGCUUUAAUAUAAUAUAUAAAGCAACCAUAUAUCAAAAGGAAUCAUGGCCGACAAUGAAUCAUUGCAUAUGUGCAUGUUUUCAACUUUGUUGCUUUCACUCCUGCCAUUAGCACUCAAACUGUUUGUAUAAUCAGCAUAUAUAUAUAAGGUAGCAUUGAAUAAUGUAAAGUAUUAAUAAACGAAGAAGAUGAAAAAAUAGUGAGCUUAUCAUGUUUUGGUGGAUUUGCUCGUAUAUCUCUCUAGCAGACCACAGCUCCUUCUCUUUUCUUCCUUACAUCAACACAAUGAUCAGUAGUAUAAAUAAUAGUGCAACACAAAAAUUAUACAUGAGAGCUUCUCGUGCUAAUAACGUGUUAUACAAUAACUGGAAUAUGUGCGAAUAUUGAGCUGCACGUAAAGUGGAUGAGAAACAGUAACUUUUCCACUAUGUAAAAUAAUAGGGCUACAACUUUAGUGUUUACAAUAUAUGUAGCUCACUAAUUUUUCUCUCUUGGAGAAUUUCUCUCCUCUCACCCACUCUCUUUCUUUCUUUUCUUUCCUUCCUCUCUGCCUGACUCUCUUUCUUCUCUCAGUUGGAGUCUUCACCAAAGGAAGGGGGGAAGCCUUAUUUGUAGGCAGAAUUUUGUGGCUGCUUACUCAUUUCUCUUUGGCUUCACGUGGGUGUUGACAAGCAUCAUCAUUACUCUUCAAUUAAUUAGGUAGUGUGCUCUACCAUUUUGGCCUCCACAUUCUUGACUUUACAACAAGUAUAUAUUUUAAUAUGGAGGAGUAAGAAGUCACAACUUUGGCCAAGUUUCUUGAAAAGGACAAAUGGCCUAAAGAUCUUUAUAAAAAAGAUCUAAUGAAAGUUCGAAGGCCACCUUUAUGGCCUUAUACUAUCUAUAUAAUAUUAUUUAGACUCAACAUAUAAGGUAUAAUCAUAGUCUAAAAUAUCGAUAAUAUCGACGAAAUUAUCAUUUUUUCGAGUCACAAAUAUUUGGAACGUAUCCACACAUAUCGUAUAAAUAUCGAUAAUAUCAGAAAAUAUCGAUGUCGAUAAUUGUGCUCACUCACUACUACAAAAAAGGAAAAAGACGACGGUAAAUCACCGUCGUGUAUUCGAUUUUUCAAUGGUCGUGGAAUCCACCGUCAUCUUUUCCCUCAUAUACCACGACGCUAAAUCACCGUCGUUGUUAAAAUAUACAACGUCAUCAACAAAUACAAAACGACGUCUUUGUACUGCAAAAAGAUCUAAAAAAGCAGUCGAGGAUGAGAAUAGACGACCAACUCUCUAAAAAAACCGUCGUUAAAAAGGAAAAAUAUGACACAUAUUAAGAGAACAAGGCCGCAAGAUAGACAUACAACGACGGAAAUAAAACAACGACGCCGUUAAAUAUCAUUUUCACGACAAUAAAAAAUUUGACGUCUUUAAAUACAUUAGAAGACGACGUUAUUGAUACCUACUACGUCGCAUAUAUAAAAACAGCCGUCGUAAAAUUAAUUUUCCACUUCGAUUUUUCGAUAAAAGAUGACGUGGAAAUAGUUGUCAGUGUCAUUAUUUACGACGUAUGUAUUUAUUGAGUAGACGUUGAAAAACUAAACAACGUCGGUUACAAAUAUAUGAGAGUCGUAUUACAAAAUUUAUACGUCAUAUUUUCAGAAACAAACAACGACGAUAAAUAUUAGACGUUGUUAAAUAAAACAACGUCGGAAAACAAUAAAAACAGACGUGUUUAGUCUGCUAAAGUUCUAGAAAAUAGUCGAGGAUGAGAAUAGACGACCAACUCAAACAAAUCACCGUCGUUAAAAAGGAAAAAUAUGACACAUGUUAAAAGAAAAAGGCCGCAAGAUAUACAUACAACGACGACAACUAAAAUUUUACGCCGUUAAAUAUAAUUUACACGACAAGAAAAAAUAUGACGUCUUUAAAUACAUGAGAAGACGACGUUAUUGAAAUAUACUACGUCUCUUAUUUACAAACAACCGUCGUGAAAUAAAUUUUCCACUUCGAUUUUUCUAAAAAAGAUGACGUGGAAAUAGUUGUCAGUGUCAUUAUUUACGACGUAUGUAUUUAUACAGUUGACGUUGAAAUGCGAAACAACGUCGGUGGCAUUUAUAUAGUCGACGUUGUAUUUAUAUCUAUCAUCAUUACUCACGACGCACUUAAUAAUAUAGACGACGUUGAACUUCUAAACAACGUCGGUUCCAAAUAAAUGAGAGCCGUAUUACAGAACAUAUAGACGGCGUUGAUUAUGAUGAGAGCCGUAUUACAAAUAACGUCGUUUAAUUGUUAUUAGACGGCGGUUAUAAUGAAUUUCCGUCGGAAUUCAUUUCGUUCCUCUUCGUUUAUAAAAGAACUUGCGACGUGGAAAAUGUAUGAUGACGUCGUAUUUUUUAACGUUCAGAUUAUAUAUCUCGUUUUUUAGACGUCGGUAUUAUGGGAUUGGAGUCGUGUUAUUUUGAAUUACAUGGCGGUUCUUAAUCCUUCCCCGACGUGAUAUCCUGAUUAAUUGCUUCACAAUUGCGUCGUGGUUCUUCAUUGUUACGUUGCUUUAAGACGUCGGUAAAUAUGCUGAAUAACUGGUUCACAAUAACGUUGUGUUUUAUUUGAACGUAGAAAGUGAAGAAAUCACAUUACAAUAUAUUACAAAAUUAAUGUCAUACACUGCCAAUUACAUAAGCAUCAUUCAAUCCAUAUAUCUUCACACCCAUCUCGAAUAUUUUGACCGCCUAACUCACCCACCAGUUCAUCAAAUGUGUCAACAUUUGGCAUCCCUCUAGUAAAUGGCUCACACUCAAUUAUCACAUCACCUAAGACUUCAUCACCAAUAACAUCAUUAUAUUCUCUAUUAGGCAUUGAUAACACUACCGACCAACCACGAUGCAUCGGGUCGUCAACAAAAAAUAUUUGUUUGACUUGAGAAGCCAAAACAAAUUGGUCAUUCCUAUGUCCAAUUUUACUCAAAUCUACAAGGGUAAAUCCAAGUUCGUCGACUACAAGACCAGAACUAUCUAUCCAAUCACACCUAAAGACUGGGAUUGUAAACUUUUGGUAGUCAAGGUCCCAAAUUUCUUGAAUGACACCAUAGAAACCCAUAUUUGAGAGAAUUGGGUUUUUAUCCUUGGCACUAGCAACUUGCAUGGUAUGUGCAAGUAAAUAAACUCCACUAUUUUGAGUUGUCCGCACAUCAUCUUGUGCCUUGAUAUUGAAUUUAAUACCUUUAAUAAGAUAGCUCCUAUAUAAUGGCACUGACAUGUUUGGACCAGCUGCUAGCCACCUUAAAUUUUCUGAUACGCCAUGAUUGUCUUCCUCAAGUUCACUUUGAACCUGCAAAUUAAUCAUAUCUUAAUUCAAUCUAACAUAUAAAUAAGAAGAAAAUUAAAAGAGAAAUAUGUUAUUCAACAAUAUAUACCUUGAAGCGUAGCCAUUGAAUGAAAGUGCUAUUGUGCUUAUCCUGCAGCCACUUUGUUCUCUUUCUAAAUUUUGGAUAAGCAGUCUUGAUGUGAAUCAUAUGUUGCCUACAUGACACGAAAAAUUCAAGCAUUACGGUCCUAAAUAUAGAAGAUAAACAUAAGAAAUAAUUUAAAAUGGAAACUUAAAGAAUAAAGCUCAUACGUACUCGAUAUAAGGUAGGACUUCCUCCGUAUUCUCCAAGACAUAUAGAUGUGCUUGAUUCAACAGGUCCUGAUCAACUACGCUCACUGUGCAACCUGAUAAUGGCUUUGAAAGUCCCAUCUUUUGGCUUGAAGGCACUCCAACUGUACUAACAUCAGAUAAAUGCUGAGUACAACACUCUACCGCUUCUUCAGCUAUAUACCGCUCAGCAAUGCAACCUUCGGGACGAGUACGAUUCUGAACAUACCCCUUCAGCACUUUCAUAUAUCUUUCAAACGGAUACAUCCACCUAAAAUAUACUGGCCCACAUAGACGAACUUCUCUGACAAGAUGUACUACUAGAUGAACCAUGAUAUCAAAGAAUGAAGGGGGAAAGUACUUCUCAAGCAAACACAGAGUAACUACUACAUCUUCUUCCAACUUAUCUAGCUUGGAAACAUCAACAGUCUUUGCACAUAUAGCAUUGAAGAAGAAGCACAAACGAGUUAUUGCAUACCUUGCAGGCUUCUCCAAAACAGAACGAAUUGCCACAGGGAGCAAUUGUUGCAUUAAGGUAUGACAAUCAUGUGAUUUAAGGCCAAGAAGUCUUGAAUCUUGUAAAGAUACAAGAUUUUUAAUAUUUGAAGAAUAACCUUCAGGGACCUUCAUACCAUAGAAAGAAUUGCAAACCUCUCUCUUCUCUGCUCUUGACAAAUUCCAAGGCCCAGGAGGCAAACGAGUACGUCUUUCUCCAUACUCGGGUUGCAAAUCAGUUUUGACCCCCAUGUUCAAUAAAUCUAAUCGAGCAGCAAUCCCAUCUUUAUUUUUUCCAGGGAUCUCCAGCAAUGUACCAAUGAUACUAUCGCAAACAUUCUUCUCAAUGUGCAUAACAUCUAGGGCAUGCCUCACAGGAAGGUAUUUCCAAUACUCGAGAUCAAAGAAUAUUGAUUUCUUCUUCCAACAAACUCUGUCACCAUUUUCAACCAUAUGCAGCACUUCUUCUCCGGUUAAUGGCUCGGGAGGUAUGCCAUAUUCAGGUUUCCCAUUAAAAGCUGCACGUUGCCUCCUAUAUGGAUGAUUGAUUGGUAACCAUUUUCUAUGCCCAAUGUAACAAAUUUUGUGGCCAUUUUUCAACCUGUGACUAGGUGUAUCAUCGCCGCAUAUUGGACAAGCUUUAUAUCCUUUAACAACAGAACCAGAUAAGUUUCCAUAGGCGGGGAAAUCAUUAAUUGUCCACAUUAAUGCAGCUCUGAGUGUAAAGUAUUCUCCAUUAUGUGCAUCAUACACUCCUCUAAUCCCAACCCACAAGGAUUUUAAAUCAUCAAUCAAAGGCUCCAAGUAGACGUCUAUAUCAUUUCCGGGUUGUUUAGGACCGGAAAUCAAUAAGGUUAACAUCAUGAACUUUCGUUUCAUGCACAGCCAUGGAGGGAGAUUAUAUGUAACUAAGAUAACCGGCCAACAACUAUAUCUGCUACUUAGAGAACUGUGGGGAUUGAAUCCAUCAGAUGAAAGAGCCAAUCUCAAGUUUCUCGGCUCAUUACCAAACUCAGGCCAUUUAUCAUCAAGAAGUUUCCAAGACGGGGAAUCCGCCGGAUGAGACAUCUGACCGUCAAUUGAUUUUCUAGCAGCAUGCCACCAAGUCAAACUCUUAGCUGUCUCAUGUGAUUGAAACAUCCUUUUAAACCUUGGAAUUGGGGGAAAAUACCACACCACCUUCGCUGGCACACCCUCUUUCAAGAUUGAAUCUUUGCCUUCCUUCCACCUUGAGAUACCACAAGUAGGACAAUUAGUUGAAUCCUCAUACUCCUUCCUAUACAAGAUGCAAUCAUUGGGGCAUGCGUGCAUUUUCUCAUAACUCAGCCCCAAUGCACACAAAGUCUUUUUAGCCUCAUACAUGGAGGUUGGUAUUGUAUUUCCUUCUGGAAGCAAAUCGCCUUGAAGUAUCAAUAAUUCUGUAAAACAGACAUCACUCAUCCCAUGUUUUGCCUUCAAAUUAUACAACUUCACUAAUGCCGAUAACUUCGUGUACUUUCUACAACCAGGGUACACUGGUUGAUCUCCAUCCCCAAUCACAUUGGCAAACUCAUACGGAUCCGAACCAAAAUCACCAAAAUCAUUAUCAUCCAUAUCAAUUUCUUCAGACACAAAACUGUACCUACUAUGGCCAUCAUCUUCUUCAACAUUUCUACUAGCAUUAGUAGUUGCUUCCCAAGGUUCUCCGUGAAAUGUCCAAUUCUUAUAGCUUUGGUCAAUUCCAUUAAAGUAUAAGUGAUCCCUUAUAAUUCCAACCCCAAACAACUUCAAAUUAACACAUUUAACACAUGGACAACGGAUAUGUGUUGUAGUUAGAAGAUUUUCUACAGCAAAGUUCAAAAAUGCUUCCACCCCAAAUUCAUAUGCCUUCGAUCUUCUAUCCGAGUGCAUCCAUGACUUAUCCAUCUCCGACACUAUAACCUAUUAUCUAUAAUAAAGUGAAAAUACAGGCAAUGACCAUCACUAUAGCAGAUUAUAAAAUGAUCUAAUCGCAAGUAAUACACAACAGAGACGACGGGUUUUAAACAAAAACAGACGUAUUUGGCAUAUAUAGACGACGGAUUUUCAACAGACGUCGUCUAUUAUAAGUAAUACAAACGACGGUUUAUGAAAAAACCGUCGUGUAUAAGUAAUACAACGACGGUAGUUUAAAAAAAUCGUCGUGUAAUCGUCGUCGUAAGCCUUAAAAUUCGUCGUGUCUCAGUUUAUUUUCAAGAACACAAAACCCAUUAAGAACACAACAUAUAUAUGAAACCAAGCAAGAAACCAACAUAUACAUGAAACCAAGCAUGAAAACAAUAAAUCCAUUCCCAAUUCAACAUAACAGAUAAUCCAUGAACCCAUUAAACAGAAAAUCCAUGAACCCAUACCUAUAAGCACAUUAUUAACAGAUCGCAAAGCAUACACAUAAAACCCUUUAACAAAACAACCUAAUAUAACUCGAAUCGUUACUAGAAUCAUCACUCGAAUCCCCAUCUUCAUUAUCAGUUUCUUCCUUCGUAGGUACUAUUUGCUCCCCAUCAUUUUCUCCAUAGCGGAAAAUGACAAGAUCAAAUAAAGGUGUACUUUUGCUGGAAAUCAUUUGGAAGUUGGUGAUCUGUGUCUUUUUGUGUUGAUUUCCAGCAAAAGUACACCUUUAUUUGAUCUUGUCAUGAACCCAUUAAACAGAAAAUCCAUGAACCCAUACCUAUAAGCACAUUAUUAACAGAUCGCAAAGCAUACACAUAAAACCCUUUAACAAAACAACCUAAUAUCAUUCAAUGAAUUUACAAGGGGAAGAUAGGGUUUAUACUUACAGGUUGGACGAGCUCACAGAUUCGACGGAGCCUGGAGAGUGCAACUUUUAAUUAGAGCAGAAGUGAGAGAGCGAAAUGUUAUGUCGCGCGAAAUCUGAAAAUUUAAGGUUUCAGGGUUCGAAGUAUAAGAAUAAGAGCCAAAUCUAAAAAAAUUUAGGUCGCGCGAAAAUUUUUAGAGUUCGCGCGUUUUAAAACGUCGAAAGAAAAACCAAGGCGAAAGUUCUACACGUACCGACGUAAAUUUAAUAUUCCACGACGGAAACUUCAUUUUUCGGAUUAAGAACGUAAGGCCGUUCAUUUUGAAGCUUCAUUUUUCGGAUUAAUUUUAAAUUUAUUUUGAAUUUUUUAUAUAACGACGACUGAAAAACCACGUCGGUGUUAAGAAAUUAAAGACGUUGUAAAUUAUAUAAACCGACUUACAUAUUAAAAUGACGUCGUUUAAAGCGUAAACCAUGUCGUAUGUUUUUCUGUACGACGUAAAAUAUGUAUUCCACGACGCAACCACCGUCGUUAAAAAUUAAUACCCUAAACCCAUAAAACUAAAUUAUACAAUUUAAAAAAUUAAGUUUAUAAAAGGUUUUAUGGUUUUAAAGCCUAACAUAUACCCUAGACUACCCAAAAAUUAUACUUUAAAAAUAAACCCCAAUAAAUAACAACCCUAAUCUCUAAACCCUAGACUCUAAACCCUAAACCAUAAAACUAGAAGUGAUUUUAUGACUCAUCAAAACAAUUUUGUUUUGGAUGGUCAUUUUAAAUUUUUGUUAUUCAAAAUGAAUUUUUUCAAGGUUUAUGUGGAAGAAAAUAUAUCAAUGACUUCAUAGGAGUUGACUUUUCAAUUUUCUGAUUUAUUUUAAAUUUAUUUUGAAUAUUUUGAUAUAAAAAUAAUAAAAUAUUCUUACCACAACAACAAACCACGUCGGUGUUAAUAAAUUGUAGACGUUGUAAAUUGUAAUAGACUACUAAGUCGUUAAAAUGACGUCGUUAAAAUGAGAAACCAUGGCGGCUAUUUAACUAUACGACGUAAAAUAUAUAUAUCAACGACUUAACCGCUGUCGUUACAUAAACGUCGUCGAUGAUACCCUGAACCCUUAAGAAAUUGAAGAUGUUGUAAACCAUAAACGACUCAAUUGUUCAAAGAACGUCGUCUAACUAUAUUUUUACGUCGUAUUUGUUUAAAACACGAAACAACAAAAUACGACGGUUUGUGACUUUAUUAGGUCGUUGGAAAAGUAUUACACGUCGGUUAAGCAAUUUGUAUGUUUGUUUUUUUUUUAAUUUAAGAAAACCUCAACAAAUUUUUACAUUACAUAUUAUAGAGAAAAUUUGUACAUUAUACAUAAAUAUCAAGUGUUCAAUAAUUGCCCUGUUUAAUAAUUUGGAAAACAAACUCUGCCCAUUCAUUCCGGACUUCAUCAAUGGCUUCUUGGGGGUAUGAAGCUUCCUGGUUUCCCUUGGCAUACUGCAUAAACAAUGACUAUUAGGGUUUAUAAAUAAAAAGAAAUUCAAUCACAGACGACGAUAUUUUUCAUAACCGACGUAGUAUAUCCAUUCAACGACGUUAAUUUUACAUGACCGUCGUUGAUAAUACAAAAAACGACGUGAAAUGUAUGAAGGUAAUUUCUUCUUACCUUAUUCUCAAACCCCAAGGAAGGAUCCAUGAUGAUGUCCCUCAUGAAGCGCAUCACAUAAUACCCGCAUUCGACAUUGCUGGGUUGCUUUGGUGUGCCUGAGAGAGUUUUCCAAAUUACAUUUUUACGUCCUGCUCGGGCUAUGUGGGUAUUAUAUAUUUUUAAAGCACUGUUCACGAUGUUUUUCGCCUCUUCGUCGACCACACGAUGACCUGGCAGAGGAUCCAGAAAAUAGACGGUCUCCUUCUUUGCUCUUACAAUCAGCAAGAUCCAAUGACGGCUGCACAAAAUUAAUAUAAAAACGACGGUUAUUUACAAAAACGACGUAUUAUAGUAUUCACACGACGAAANNNNNNNNNNNNNNNNNNNNNNNNNNNNNNNNNNNNNNNNNNNNNNNNNNNNNNNNNNNNNNNNNNNNNNNNNNNNNNNNNNNNNNNNNNNNNNNNNNNNCGACGGUUUAUUUACAAAACCGACGUAUAAUAGUAUUUCCACACGACGAAAUAAAGUAGAUAACGACGACAUUAUAUAUUUAUCACGACGAUAAAUAAAUACCGACGUGGUUAGUAGUUUCAAACGACUAAAUAAAAUAAAACACCGACGUGGUUAGUUUAUAAUCUGUCAUUUAUUGAAAAUCAUAAAAACAAAAUCCUAAGGAGACUAACCCUGGAUUGUAAGGCAUCAUGAAAAUCUGUUCACCCGUCUGUCUUCUGAAGUCGAGCUGCUACCAGUCGUGAUCUUUCAGUUAUUGUGCCAGAGUUGGCACUAACUGUAGCAGGGUCGAUAAAGCCAACCAUGCUGCACAUAUUGGCUUGUUUCAAAACAUCGUGUAAGUACCUAAAUACAUAAAAUAAUAUAAACAAGUCAGCACAAACAAACAUGACGGUUAUGUAUAAAAAAACGACGUAUUAUAAUAUUUCACACGACGUACUGAAAUAGAUGAGGACGUUAUAAUAUAUUUAUCACGACGGUAGUUAGUUAAGACGACGUGGUUAGUUAGUUAAGACGACGCAAUAUAUAAACCAACGAGGUAUUAUUUUAGAAGUACAAACCUCAUAUAUACAGCCAAUACAGUAGCUCCAAUUUCUUCCAUGCCUGCAAAUUGUGUAAUAUCUUCAGGCAGGAGGAAGGUAUCGCGCUCACCACCAAACACCUCCUUAUUAAUUGUAAAUUGGAGUGUCUUAUCCUCAGGCAGGAGUGUCGUUUCCACAAAACGACAAAGGGUUUUUAAAGAAGAUGGCGCCUCCAUAUUUGAAUAAGCACCAACUUCAAUAACCUGUUUAAAGAAAUAAAAAAAAUGACAUGGUAAUUCAAUAAAGACGACGGUUUAAGUAAUAAAACGUUGUCUUAAAAGUAUUUAAACGACGGUGAAAAAACCGUCGUGGUAAUUCAAUAAAGACGACGGUUUUAUGAAUAAAGCGUCGUCUGAAACCAUUUAAACGACGGUGCAAAAAUCGUCGUUUAAAUAUUUUAUUACGUCUUAAAAAAAUUCCGCCGUCUAAGUUUUAAACAAACGACGGAUUAAAUAAAAAUAUCGACGUCUGAAAUUUUGAAAAACAAAUAAAAAAGGCAAAGUUAUGUGAACAUACCUUGUCGUCAUGCUUUUCUUCAUCUUCUUUCUCCUUUUCUUCUUCCUUCUCUUCAUCUCUUUUUUCUUCUUCCUUCUCUUCAUCUGGCUGAUGUUUCCCCAUUUUGGCAGUAUCAUCCUCCAAAUGUAGGGAUCUCACAUCACCUCCAGAGCAGCUAGCUUUGUCAGACAUUGGAUUUUUGGGGCUUUGGCUAAUUCUUGGUUUAAGCAUGCUUGGAUCAAAAUUGGGAAUUAAUUGGGAAAGCUGACUCAGGAAAUGCUCCCUCUCAGCCUCUACCAAUUGUUUUGUCCUAGCCUCCAUCCUUAAGGCCUCUUCCCUUGCCUUAGCCUCCAUCUUUUUAGUCUCUUCUUGAAGGAGAACUCUUAAACUGUCCUUCAAACGGUCGUCAAAGCUCACCCUCUGUGGUUUGGGAAAAUUGAAAUAUUGCCUUGGGGAAACACCAGCACCAACUCCCCUCAGUCUGCCUGGAUGCUCGGGGCCCAAAGCCAUGGUCAGCACAUCAUUGCUGCCAUCUACUCUGACUUUGCCUUCCGAGACUUGUUUCUGCAAUUCAUCCUAAAAAAAGAUAAACAAAAAAACACACGACGGUUAUUUAUGUACAAACGACGUAUUAUAUAAUUUCACACGACGCAAUAACGUAUAAACCGACAUUAUUAUAACUUAUCACGACGGUGGUUAUACCGACGUGGUUAUUUAUUUAAAACGACGAAAUGAAUAAACAACCGACGUCUUAUGCUAUAAUUAAAGAUAACAGAGUAGUGACUCCUAUUUAGACCGUUAACGACGUUUUUAAAAAAGUUUCGACGUGGUAAUAUCAUUCACACGACGCGAAAAUGAACCACCGACGUCUUAUGCUAUAAUUACAGAAAACAUAGUAGUGAUUCCUAUUUAGACCUUUAACGACGUUUUUAAAAACUUUUCGACGUGGUAAUAUCAUUCACACGACGCAAAAUAUAACAUACGACGUAAUAAGAAUAAUUCACAGUUUAAUACAAAUUUAAAACAGAGUGAUAGUAGGCUUACUAUUAAUUUUGCUUUCUCUGCCACCUUUGGAUCAGGGAUGUUACCAUGUUUGUCCUGUCUAGCUCUCUUCCAUAAGGUAGAUCGAUCAAUUUCUACCCCAGGCAUGGUUUCCUCCAAUUGAUCCUCCAAUCCAGCAUAUCCUUUUCGAGACAAUCGAUGAUUGUACUCGAGUUUCUCCCUAAUCUGUGCAUGUUGAGAAUGCACAGACUCAAAAUCUUUGGAUAGCCUUGAAGCUACAAAGGCAUCCCAUUGUGCUUUCUCUGUGAAUUUAUAUGUUUCAGGGGGUUGGCUUAAUUUCUCCCUGUCAUUGGUGUAUGGAAGGAUAUAAUGCCUCGUUAGUGUAGACUUGAAAUCCUUCCAUUUCUUGGAAGCAGAAGCUAAAACAGAGGUCUUGCCCCCUUGGCCUACGACAAAAGCCAUGUCAACUGCUUCCCAAAUCUGCUCCUUUAUAUCCUUGGGGAUUUGGGACCAUUUCUUGUCCACAAGUGGGAUCCUGGAGCGUGCCAACACACCAAUAUACGACUGCAUCUCAAUAUGUGCUUGGCCAACACCUUUCCCCCUUUUAUUGUACUCAACAAUUGGCCUCAGUUUCUGAAGCUUUCUCUUCACAACACGAGGCAUUGUGCUCAUACCUCGACCAGUCUUUGAAUCAUCUGAGAUUGUUGUCUGGCUGGUUUGUUCUGUCUCAGCAGAUGAUGAAGCAAACUUCAUCUUCUUCGAAGACUUCAUCUCCUUCGAAGACUUGUCUUGAGGAGCUACCAUUCCAAGCUUCUUGGAGCCAGAAUCCUUAGUUUGUUGUUGAGAAACCAUUUUAACAGACAAAACUGCAAGUGAAAAUAUUUCAGGAAAACAUUAAGAACACAAACGACGGUAUUAAAAAAAUACGACGUAUGAUAUGAUUGUAGACGACGCAAUGAAAUAAUCUCAGACGUAAUAAAUGUUUAAAACCAUUAUUUAUAUAACGUCGUGGUAUAUAUGUUCACACGACGUCAAUAGUAAUACACCGUCGUGGUAAACUAUUAUUUAUAUAACGUCGUGGUAUUUAUGUUCAUAUGACGUCAAUAGUAAUACACCGUCGUGGUAUUAACAUUCACACGACGUAAAACAAUAAGAUAUUUUGUCGUCUAUAUUAGAUACCAACCCUAGUUUCUUUUUCUUUAUAUUUUAUCAAAUAAGGGAAAAACAAAAACCAUUGUUCAGCGAAAUCAAACCUGCAAUUAAACAAGCAUAUAAAAAAAGACUAUUAUUUUAAAAACAACUUUGUCAAUUUUCAGACGACGCUAGAACAACUGACGAACCGUCGUGGUCUACCUUCGUCUUAUUUAGUUGAUGUAGUUGUCUUCAAAGUUGGAAACUUUCACUCUUUGUCUGUAUAUUUUAUCAAACUUGGAAAGAAGUAAAAUGAUUUUGGCCAGAAAAAAGGUAAAAAGAUUUUUCAAACAAAAAACGUAUGAGCAUGCAAAACAGUAACCAAAAUAGUGAAGAUGAAAGCUUACCUUUUGCGUGCAAUGAAAGCAAGAGGAAGAUGAUCGAUGUUUAAGUUCAGAGACGACGAAGAAGACGAGAGGAAGACGAUGAGAAACUCUGACAAUGCUCUGACAAGGAAAAAAGACGAAAAGGUUUCUCUGGGAGAUUGAAAUUUUUAAUCGGGUUUGGAAACAGUGCAUGUGUAAGUCGAAAAGUUGCUUACAUAUAAAACCAUUUCAAAAAAAUAAUACGGCGGUUACAUUUAACUACGUCGUUUUUAACUAAAACGACGCAAUAUUUUUCAUUCGACGUGGAAUCAUUUCAUUUAACGUCGUUAGGUUUAAUAUAACCGACGUGGAUUUUAAUUUUUAAAUUAUGAAUAGAAUUUUUUUUCCCGUGACCUUUCAGUUUAUUUUUCAAUUACAGUGCGUUAUAAAUAGAGUUUUUUUUCCGGAGGAAAUUUAAAACGAAGGAAAUUAAUAUUCUGCAAUAUGUAAAGUUUCUUUUUUGGAUGACAGAUUUAAAUAAAAUAAGAAUAUAAAAACAACAAAUGUGUAAGUCAAGUAGACGAAAAGUUGCUUACAUAUAAAACCAUUUCAAAAAAAUAAUACGGCGGUUACAUAUAACUACGACGUAUAAAUUACAAAAUACGACGGUACAUUUAACUUCGGACAUGGUAAAUAAAUACGACAGUAGUUUGUAGGUACCGUCGUAGUAAACUCAAAAAUUAAAGUACAUAAGUAAUAACUCGCGUCAUGGUAUAUUAUUUAACACGUCGUUUGUAUUAAUUUACCGACGUGGAUUUCUGUAAUAUACGUCGAUAAUACCGACGUUGAUUUUACAAUUUAAACGGCGGUUUUUUUGUAAGGACCGCCGUUGGUUUUAAAAAUUUAUUCUAUAAAUUUGUCGCUUUCAUUCAUUUUCGGUUUACAUUUAAGGUUCCAAGUUCUUCCUCUCUCAGUCUCUCAUGUCUCAAAGACAAUAAUUUGGAUGUUUUCUCAAAGAGAAAUUGAGCUUACUCGCAUCAAAUAUAUGUCCACAAGAAGAAGCUUGUCAACUAGCCUUCUCACUUCCUUGAUCAAGCCUGAUAGGACACUUAGUGCUUCUGAAUACUCCUUGCUUUCCAUCAAAAGAGAUGCAAGCCUGGCCUCCACUCGCUGUCGAAGGAAAGUUCGCUUCUCAGGGAAAUCUGAAGAUCAGAUGUGCCUGAUCCUCUGCUUGAUUUUCUUGCCUAAGAAGAUCCGUCGGAUUUAUUGUGAUAGCCUCUUCCUUUAUCCGUAGAGCUUCAGAAGAAGAAGAUGGGUUUCAAGAAUGCGAUAAAGAAUAGAAAUUGCUUCAGAUGGCCUCUAAAGCAUGAGCAAUUGAAUCAGUAGUUUCUGGGAGAUAUGAUGAAGACAUUGUCAAUGCUUUGAACUACACAAGUCCUGCAGAAAGAUAUGUUAAAGAAACUGAAACAACGGCGGUUUUCUGUUCUACCGUCGUCUUUUAUCGUCGUCUAUAUUAAGUUAAGAUGGCGGUAGAUUUAUAAUUACCGACGUAGAUUAUUUUGUUAAACGUCGUUAAGUGUACUACAACCGACAUGGAUUUUAAUUUUAAAUUAUAAAUAGAGUUUUUUUUCCCGUAUUCUUUCAGUUUUAGUUUUCAAUUCCAAAGCGUGAUAAAUAGAUUUUUCUUUCCCGAGGAAAUUUAAAAUGAGGGAAAUUAAUGUUCUAGAAUUUGUAAACUAACACGACGCAAUAUUUGCAAAUCAGUGUCAUCUGUUAAGAUUAUGAUGUGGAACAGAGUUCCAUCUGGUAAGAUUUCGUAACCCUUGGGAUCUCAGACAAAACUGAUUAUGUCGGCGGUGUUCUAUAUAAACCGUCGUGGUUAUUUCAAUUCUUGUCAUUAAGUAGAUCUACCGACGUAGGAUAAGAAAAUCAAAGAAAAAAAUUGUUAACAAAAAUUCUUAUUAAGACGACCGUUAAAAUUAAAGGUACGACGUAUAAAAUGAAUAAAUACGACGAUAAAUUUUAUUGUACGAUUUAAAGAUAACGUCGUAGAACUAUACGAGAAUGACGUCGAUAUAUUUAUAUUUUCCGUCGUUGUAAAUUAAUUUAAUACGGCGAUAUUUUGUAUUUUAAAGCCGUGGAUUUGUUUGUAAUUAUACGGCGUCUUAUACGAAAACCUCGUCGUGUUAUUUUAUGAGUAAAAACGGCAGUUUUUAUUGAAAUCGUCGUCUUUACUUUCUACGUCGGUCGAUUCAUAACUUCUGCCGUUCUUUGUUGGCAUUGAUUUUACACUGCGGAAAUCUGUUUCAAAUAGACGUCGGUUGUUUAAUUAUGUACGUCGUUGUUUUUGAACAGCCAUUUGAAACUCCAUUUUUUAGUUGUCUAAGGUUGUAUUACACGACGGUGUUUUUAGAACCGUCGUCUUUUUAUAAACCACGACGAUUUUCACUUAGACCGUCGUUGUUUUCUGGUCGUCUUUUUCACUUUUUGUAGUAGUGACUCUUCAGCAAUAUUUUAUCAAAAUAUCGCUAUAAUAUCGAAAAUAUCGAUGUAAUGAAAAAAAAAGAAAAAAGAAGAAGCACAAAACACACAUGCAAAGGGGAUUCAAACUCUUGCCAUUUCACUCUUUCAACGCCUUAACCACCAUGUUGCUUAUGAUUUUUUGAUAAUAUGGUAAAAUAUGUAUAUUUAUAUUCUUUUGUUUUGAACUGUUUUUGUAAGAAUCAGAUUUUCACAUGAGAAUGUGAGUCAUUGACCGUUCUUUUUGGGAUGGAAUCGAGCGGCUCACGGAAAGAAUUUAAGACCCAAAUCUUCAAAUGAUUUUGCUUAUAGACAAUGUCAAUCAAUCUCAGAUCCAUAUGGGUGACAUGUUAACAAUUACAUACAAAACUAUUUUGAGGAUUUAUCAUUUGAUGACUACUCUUCACAAUACACUUAUUCUACACAUAGAGAUGAUGAAGAUAGUGAAAAAUUUGAACUUCAUAGGAACUCUAUGUGGCACUAAGUCACUCAUGUAUCUUAGCAUGCAAGUAUAAAGUGUAAGAUAUUGUAGUAAAUUAUUAUAUAUAAAUGAUUAUGGUGUGUUUAAUCUUCUUUCAUUAAUUAUUACAUAUUUUCUAUACUCACAAUGUUCAUCAGCUUGCUAUAUAAUCAACUUAAAUCAGUUAAACCCAUCAUGCAAUGCAUUUCCUUCCAAUUUUUUGUGACUAAUAGAUAAUUGACUAAAUAAACAUCCUCCAAAGUUUCAAUAAAAUUUUCCAAGUUUUUCUUAUAAUUUACGUCGUUUUUAUUCAAUUUUCAUCGAUAUCAAUAAUAUUCAGAUAUUUCCAUCGAAUUUUCGUGUAUUUGGACUACCGAUAUUUUCGAUACCAUCGAUAUUUUAGACCUUGGGUAUAAUAUAUAUAUAUGAUAAAGAUGGACUCAUUAGAAUUCCAAGUCAUCCAACAUCGGUGGAUUAUGUUCAAUCAAAACUAGAAACUCCGAAAGCCACGAUGUCACACCAUAUGUGAAGCCAAGUCUUCAGAGGUCUAAGCCCAACCCGUGGAAGUAGGCCCAAAACCUCCUGAUGUUUUUAUGCACGUGACGAGAUCCAUCCAAGGAAAGCAGUUGAAGAAAUUGAUGUCAAUCCGGAACAUUCAUAAUGAGGAGAGAAUCAAGUGAUUAGAUUUGCAAUUCGAUAAUCUCAUUCGAAUUAAUUCCGCGGAUUUUGGAAGCUACGAAAAGAAAAUUUUUGAACGAAGUUGACCUUUUGUCAUUUGAUGGCCAACCCAUGGACUGACAGAUGCCCCUAUAUAUACCUCUUUAGAUGAAGAGCAAAGGAGACCGACAUGAGAUACAAAAACCUACUUUUUGUUUUUCACUUUUCUAUCCCUGGACUAGGUUUUUAUUUUCCAAGCAAGUAGACUAGAUUAGUUCUUCGAUUUCGUUAGUGUAAGUUUAAUUUCUUGCAUUUUCCAUUACGUUAUUUUAAGAUCCAAAUUUGUUGCUUUACUUUUAAUUGUUAUCGAUUUUUUUUUAAGUUUAAUAUAAUUUCAAAUUGCUUUAUUUUAUCAUAUUUAUCGUUCAUAUCGUUCAUAUAGUUCUUGUUUCAUUCUUACUUAAAUUUACGUUUAUUGUUGCUUCAAUCUUAUUUUUGCAUUUAUUUUCUUGUUAUUUAGUGGCUUGGUGGCUUGGUUUGCCUCAUACUAUGUAGAAGUGCAUGUACAAUUCGAUUUGAAGGGUGCAAAUUCAAGUGCAAAGAAGACACCAACGGGCACGGGUAGAGGUGGUUCAUCUGCCACAGCUGAGAAAAAAGGCGGCCAAGGUUCGGGGCUGAUGGAAAGAGAAAGAGAAGAAGAGGGAGAUGAAAGAAGAGACGUUGCCUUUCCUUCUUCCUGUAUUUGGCACGUUUUUUAAGAAAAUGUAAAUAGAUUUUUCCUCCACACAAACAUUUUUGGUAGGUCACUUGGUGAGGAACGGUAGGAUCUUCGGUUGUAGUGUUGGCUUACAGGGUUAUACUGGUGAUACUAUUGAAUUCAACUCCAAGAUUUAUCUUUUGCCUUUAGUAGCAUUUUAUUUUCAUCAAUGCACUAGAUAAUGGUUUUAGUAGAUUAACUUGUGUUUACGGUGGUUUGAUAUAGUGUGUCAGGUGACAAUUCUCACUGAGUAAUCUGAGAACCAGAGCUUCUACAAAAUCACUAACCAGUUCAUAAAAUAUGUUUGUCUUUUUCUAAUCUCACCAUGAGAAAUAUUAAUUAAUUUGCCUUAACAAAAAUAAUACAAAGUAUUGGUUUGUAUUAAACUUUGUUGGUUAAUACUUUUUUUAAUAAAAAAUUUGCUGCUGGUUAAUCUCUGGUUAAGCUUAAUAUUUAGGAGGGGUGUGUUUUCUCACACACAAAUGUCAAAGUGCCAUAAGGAUUUGAACAGAAGACUAUUAGUCUGCAAAGCAAGGUACUUUUUCACUAGUGUCCGAAUCAAAUCAUGCUUGAAGAAUACUAAUAGGGGAUUUUUCUUUCAGCUGAUAAAAGUAAAACAUCAAAGCUCAUCAUGGUGAUCGAAAACCAGAUGCAUCCAAAUUGCAAGGCAUGCCUUUCUCUUUGUGGUAGUAUAAUGAGCAUCCCUCUCAUACCCUCCAUAAUAAUCCUAAGCAUUAAUGUUGUAAAUUAGAUAAAUCCAUACAUACAUAAAACGAGCAUAAUAAGUAAUAGUAGCUAGUGGGAAUUAUAUCCCAACAAUUCAACAAGAACGAACAAAGUAGUAAUAUUCUCACUCUCAUAGCAAUACUACAAAUAGUAGGACAAAACAAUAUUGGUAAACACACGAGUGGUCCAUAUAGUUCUCCAGAAAUCCCUAAAAUAGAUCUUGCAUCUAGGUAUGCAACACCAUAUGAAGGGCCCAUACCAUAUGUGAUUAUGAACCUUUAUUUAACUACAUAUAGAUAUAGUAGUACAACAAAUAUUACUGUCCGUCUGGGAAACGGAAACCGUCAAUAUGCUACUGAUAAUAUGUCGAUAUAAUUGUCGCCAAUAAAACGUACUGACAUGUUAUCGAUACAUUUUCAGUAAUAUCGAUGCACAUAUAUUAUUUCAACAAUAUGCACAACCUUUAUUUAAUAAAGAACUGAUGGCUUGCAUAGAGAACUUCUGAGAUAUUCAUCAGAGACGUAUAUGUAAACACCAUUUUUAUUAAGGGGUGGUGGUUAUUGAAGGUGGAGAGAACGGAAAUAUGGGAGUUGAUGGGAAAUUUGGAAGUGAAGUAAUAAUAGGGGGAGGCAACCUAUAUUCUGGCCAUAAAGGUGUGGAGGUCAGAGGAGGAAACUUCAGGUUAGGGAUCUUGGGCAGCUUAUAACGAGGAAAGGUAGGGGCUAAGAGUUUUCGAGGGGCAGCGAAAGCUGAAUGUGUGCUUGAAAGUAAUGAAGCGAUGACAAAGAUAGCUAUGACAAACGAUUUCCAAGUUGCCAUCUUAGUGUGUGGAAAUAAAGCUUAUGAAAUUUGAUGUGAACGAGAAGACCAGCCUAUGGUUAUAAUUUAUAACGUUCAGAGGGAAC